CGCACUUUGACUCUGGCUCGGUGCGGCUCGGUUCAGUUCAGUUCGAUUCGUAAAUGGCUAUGGGCCUCGUUUCUAGUCGUAAAUCUGUAGACGCUGAACGGCUACCUAAACUGGAGCAGCGAGAGCAACCCUUCCGCAUGGCCAACUCCUCCUUGGGGCAACAUUUGGAAGCACUCGCUGAUUGCUCUAUGGCGUUGACAGGUUAAUCACUUUCCUUAGUGUAUAUUCUCUCUCUCCCUCUCUCAUUGUUGUUACAGUUCUCUUGGGUCAGUUUUGGUUUGAUAUUAUAAAGUGAUUCACCUUUGUUUUAUGACAGCGCAACAAAUGCAGCCAAAGUGAGACAUUGAGUUACAAACAGAAUGAAGCCUUCAGCGGCUCCGACUACUCCCAUAGUACGAUAUAAUAAACUUGUAAGAGAAUCAAAUAAACUCUGACUUUAAUUAUGAAGCACCGCUCCUCAGCCAGCAGAGGAAAUUUCUAUUCGAUAUAGAUUUAUUGACAUAUAUUCCUAUCUAAUUCUAUUCUUAGGAACUGUUUAAAAUGGUAUUUACAUAUAUGAAAGAAUCAUUGUAUGAUUAGAUUAUAAUAUGUUAAUUAUGAAACCUUGGAGAGAGUUAUAGAAAUAAACUAUGAUGGCUCUAUUUUGACUAUCGGGGCUCCCAUAAACUGAAUUUCCUGUCUUUUUGAAGUUAAAACCCUAAACUGAAAAUAGAAAUUUUAUGAUUUCGUGAGAGCUUGCUGAACUCUGGAAGCUUAGCAAUGCUAGAAACGUUUUAGAUUUUAGCUCUUAAGUUGUUAAUGUCUUGAAGAGAGAAAAUAUGCCCAUAUAAUAAUGAUUUUUUUAGAAUUUACUCAAACAUCUAUAUGAGUACACAAAAUCGAUCAACCUUCGACGCAUUUCAAGGGAGUUCUCUCUCUCUCUUUCUUUCUCUCUCUCUCUCUGUCUCUCUCUCUCCAUUUAUCUCUCUCUUUCUUACUCUCUCUCUCUCUCCAUUUUAGAUCAAUGGGUCAACCAGAGAAGUCAUAUAUUAGACACUUCAUCAAUUCCUAUAUUUUUAUGGAGUUCAAUUAUAAAGUAGUUAUUAUCUGAGUACUAAAGUACUCGGAACAAGCUAUUAUUGUGCAAUAAACGCACUAAUGAUUGACUUGUAUGGCUGAAUUUCUGCUUCCAUAUAUGUAGAAGAAGAAGGGGAAAACAACAGGCCAACUGGCAUGCAAAAAGGAGAAUUCCUAAUGCUUAUUGUUGCAGCUGUAGCACCGACUGGGCUAUCCAUUGCAUUUCCUCAGGAACUGGCCACUGAGCCGAGAGCGAGUGUGGAGCGAGCCAGUCGAUAUGAGCAAUUACACGCAAUGUAUUAUUUAUUAUUCUUUUUGUAAUAUUUCUCUCGUAGGCGCAGGUUCGCCCAGGUUGAACAGCAGCAAAGCGUGCUCAUAUUUACACAGCUAAUUUCAUUAGAAUUCCGCGUUGUUGGCCAGCUGGUUGUACAGUGCACCAUCCCCAACACACACACACACACACAGAUGUGUGAAGACCCCCUUUAUUUGUAUUGUGAAUCAUUUUAUGCGCAUUACGAGUUUUCCUUCACGUUCAAUUGAAAAUUUUUGUUUAUUAUUUUCGUCUUUUUAUGAUUUAACCCCAAAGGCAAAAGGAAAAACCUCAACAAACCAAACCGUUCACGGCCCGGAAGUUUGGCGACGUCCACAAUGUGAAAAGCGUGGGCGAGGGGGGCAGCUGCAUUAUGAUUAUUAUUAUAUUUCAUUUUGAAUUUCCCUAAACAAAAAUUAUCGAAAAUUGAAGCUAAACCCUGUCUACGGCUGUUGUUGUUCCCUGGAAAUGGAAAUGGAAAUUGAAUAGAGAAAAGGCAUUUGCUUGCAGUUUUACGAUGAAGACGGGACGCACAAUUGUUUGGUAUUUUUCUGGUAUUAAUUUUGAGUUAUUUUUACGUAGCUCAUAAAACGGACAGAGCUUGGCCAUACGCAAACAGAGAAAGCCAUUAAAAUACAUCUCGAGUUCCGCCCACGCGGCAAGAGCUGCAGGGCAACAGUAGCCCAAGCGGAUGCUGCCAACAACAAUCGCUAUAAAAACAACAACGUCAAGAGCCGAAGGCAAAUAGCUCAAAUAUUUCGUGUCUAAUACGGCGCUACGGAAGUAGGCCGCCCGAAGAACUCAAAAGGAAACAAAAAUCGAGCGGAGACCCGAAUUGAAACUCUUCAAGGAUCGCUGGGAAGGAAAACAAGUUGGCAAAUGCUAGGCGGCAUGCCGGCCAGGAUGUGGCCAAGGAUAAAACCAAUAAAACUAAUAAUAAUAAUACCUCGCAGCUCGCUCAGCACGUGUGAGCCAUGCCAAGUAGCCCUCCAAAGGCCACUCGAGAAGACUCUACAGCGGAAAUGCCCAAACACACAUAAUCCAAAACAUUAGCAUUAGGGAUGUGAUGAGGAAAUGGUAAUAAACCAAGAGAGAUGCGUGUGAGAGAAAGGUAAGCAGGCGAUUCUCUCUCAAAGACAGAAGUGUGAAAGUGAUUUUUACUACCUGAUCGAGAGGCGUAGGCGGUUACUAAGCGUGUCUGUGUGUCUGUGUGAGUGUGUGACGCCUUGUUAGAUGUCAAUGAGUGCCAUCCGAAAAGUAAUCAAAUAAACACAUUUAUGACCAUUGUUGUGGUUGACAUGA